UACGUAGGGUGCAAGCGUUGUCCGGAAUUAUUGGGCGUAAAGAGCUCGUAGGCGGUCUGUUGCGUCGGCUGUGAAAACCCGGGGCUCAACCCCGGGCCUGCAGCCGAUACGGGCAGACUAGAGUUCGGCAGGGGAGACUGGAAUUCCUGGUGUAGCGGUGAAAUGCGCAGAUAUCAGGAGGAACACCGGUGGCGAAGGCGGGUCUCUGGGCCGAUACUGACGCUGAGGAGCGAGAGCGUGGGGAGCGAACAAG
rnacentral:rRNA from 1 species